rnacentral:rRNA from 1 species
UACGUAGGGUGCGAGCGUUGUCCGGAAUUACUAGGCGUAAAGAGCUCGUAGGUGGUUUGUCGCGUUGUUCGUGAAAACUCACAGCUUAACUGUGGGCGUGCGGGCGAUACGGGCAGACUGGAGUACUGCAGGGGAGACUGGAAUUCCUGGUGUAGCGGUGGAAUGCGCAGAUAUCAGGAGGAACACCGGUGGCGAAGGCGGGUCUCUGGGCAGUAACUGACGCUGAGGAGCGAAAGCGUGGGGAGCGAACAGG